rnacentral:rRNA from 1 species
GUGGCUCGGACUUCACUCCAACCCCAAUGUGAACGUUACCAAUCUGUUGCCUCGGCGGGAUUCUCUUGCCCCGGGCGCGUCGCAGCCCCGGAUCCCAUGGCGCCCGCCGGAGGACCAACUCCAAACUCUUUUUUCUCUCCGUCGCGGCUCCCGUCGCGGCUCUUUUUUAUUUUUGCUCUGAGCCUUUCUCGGCGACCCUAGCGGGCGUCUCGAAAAUGAAUCAAAACUUUCAACAACGGAUCUCUUGGUUCUGGCAUCGAUGAAGAACGCAGCGAAAUGCGAUAAGUAAUGUGAAUUGCAGAAUUCAGUGAAUCAUCGAAUCUUUGAACGCACAUUGCGCCCGCCAGUAUUCUGGCGGGCAUGCCUGUCCGAGCGUCAUUUCAACCCUCGAACCCCUCCGGGGGGUCGGCGUUGGGGAUCGGCCCCUCACCGGGCCGCCCCCGAAAUACAGUGGCGGUCUCGCCGCAGCCUCUCCUGCGCAGUAGUUUGCACACUCGCACCGGGAGCGCGGCGCGCCCACAGCCCUAAAACACCCCAAACUUCACAAAUGUUGACGUCGGAUCGAGUAGGAAUACCCGCUCAACUUCAGCAUAUCGUUCAGACGAGAGAAG